CUCAGAUCGAGAUGAGGAACUUAUUGGGAACUGAAGUAAAGGUUACUCAUUCUAUGCUUUAGUAAAGAGACUGGUGGCAUUUUGCCCCUGCACUAGAGAUCUGCAGAACAUUGAGAUUAUCAGGGAUUAUUUUGAGUAUCUGGUGGAAGAAAUUUCUAAGCAGCAAAGCAUCCAAGAGAUAACCCAGCUUAUUCUGAAACCAGUUACAUAUGCUCACAAAGAAAUAGUUUGAAAUUGAACUUAUUUUUAAAAGGGAAGCAGAGUAUAAAGGUUUAUAAAAUCUGCAGCCUGUUUAUGUGGUAGAAAAGGAAACCCCAUUUUCUGGGAAGGAAUUCAAGCCUAUUGCAGAAAUUUCCACAAGUAACAAGGAUCUGAAUGUUAAUAGCCAAGACAAUGAGUUAAAUGCUUCCAGGGAAUGUGAGAGACAUUCACAACAGCUCAUCUCAUCACAAUCAGAGUCCUAGGAGAAAACAAAAUGUAACGACUAAUUUUUUUCAAAAAAACUAAACGCCACCUCUUUUGUAUUGUUAUAAACAGAAAUUGUGAUAGUGUUUGCAGGCUCUUGGCAGAAAGUAGGUGCUCAAUUUAAUAUUAGUAAAACUUGAAAACAAUAGGUUAGCAUAUAUUUUGGUAUUGACAUGAAGAUGUUUGUCAAGAAAGAAAAGUAAUUUUCAACAUUUUGCAAGGCUUAGGAUGUGCCAUAGAUGUCUUCGGGGUCAGCACAUGGGAAGAAGUAAUAAAGGAGCAGAAAGUCUUCUUAACUACCUCUCAUCUCUUACCAAAACAGGUACACUUUAAAUGUUUAUAUGUCAAAAUUCUGAUAAAGAUUUUAUUAAUGAAAGAUCUCACAAUUGAAAAGUUUAAAAAUAACAAAUAGACCAAACUCCUCAUUUUCUUUCAAUAUUUUAUUAUGAAAAACUUCAAAUGUAAAGAACAAUUGAGAGAAUUUUAUAGUGCAUAUCCAUAUAUCCUCUAUUUAAAUUCCUUUUAUAUACCUUUACUUUUGACCUAGUUCUGUCACUGUAUUUAGAGUAUUUCUCUUUUUUUCUUAUAGAUAGUGUAUGGUUGAGUCUUUUUUUUUUUUUUUUUUUUUUCAUUCAAUGAUCUCUACCUUUUGAGUGACUAGUCCUUGGAUGUAGUCAUACCAUUAUCCUAUUUGUUUUCUAUUUGUUGCUCCUAGAUUUUUUUGUCCAAUUCUCCUUUCCUGCCUUUUUGAUUAAAUAAAUAUAUAUUGUAAAUUCAAUUUAAUUUAUCUAUUAGCUCUUCAGCUUUACUUCUUUGCUUUCUUUUAAGCGGUUGUUCUAUUAAUGUAUACAUUACAAUACAUCCUUAAAUUUUUGCAAUUUGUUUAGAGUUAAUACUGCAACACUUCACAUAAUUUAUAGAAAUCUUGCAAUCAUAUAUAUUCAAGAUAUGAUAUAUAUCUUUUAAUCCUUUAUGCUAUACUUAUCGUGUUAUAUCUACAUAUACUAUAAACUCCUCAAUAUGUUACUUUGAACAUUAAUAUGAAUUUUCAAGAAAUUCAGUGGGAUAUUUAUUUUUUAUCCAUUUUAACUUUUUAAACUAAUAUUUAACUGUUUCAUUAAACAUUAAUUUAACUAUUUUAACUUAUUUAUCAUUUCUAAUGAUGUUUAUUUCUUCCUUGAGGUCCAACUUUCAUCUGAUCUCAUUUCCCUUCAGUCUAAAUAACUUCCUUUACUAUUUCUUGUAAUGCAGGUCUAUUAGCAACAUAUUCUAUUAGUUGCCUUUCCUGGAACACCUUUAUUUCGUUUCUAUUCUUCCAGGAUAUUUUCAAUGUAUAUUGAAUUCUGGAUUGACAAUUGCCAUUUUUGUUUGUAAUUUCAUGAAUCACUUUCAAGACAUCAUUCCACUGUCUCUGGCACCCAUUAUUUCUCAAAAAAAAUCAGGAGAAUUUAAGAUAUUAUUGCUUUGUAAGUUAUAUUUUCAUCUUUUAUGACAUUCACCUUUUUAACCAGGUGUCUUAUAAG
rnacentral:lncRNA from 1 species